CCUUUCACUCGUGCCCGAACCCCACCCGACCCCUCGUGCUCACCUCUCUCCCUCUUGCGCGAACCCUAGCGCUCCCCUCCUCCCUCCCGCCGCCAUCUCCAUCGCCCGACCUCCCGCCGCCACCUCCGUCUAGCGGAGCUCGCCGUCGUCCAUGGCCUCCCCCACGCCCUCCUGCUCUCUCCCCUCCGCUUCCCUCCCCAACACCCACAGCCGCCACCCUCUCCCUCCCUUAGAUCUCGAUCCACAGCCGCCCCCAAGCCCACCCCCACCGUCGACGACCCUCACCGUAGAAGAGGUCGAGCUCGUCCUCCCCUCUACCUCCCACGGAUCUCUCUCGCCCCUCUCGAUCCCUCUCGAAGCUCCCGCAUCCCACCUUGCACCCUCCCCCUUCUACUCCCAAACCCCGCGGCCCGGAUCAGAUUCCUCGAAUUCUGAUCUACCAGAUCGAAGCGGAGUGGGGGCGGGUGCGAGCUCGUUGGUGCUAGGCGGCCGCACGCGGGGUCGCUGCUAGGGGCCAUGCUCAUGGUGCUCUUCAACGUCAUCAGCGCCGACGAGGCCUACGCUGCCAUAGGCCAUGUCCCAGCCGCGUCGCCCGGACGAGGAAAGGAGAGGAGGACAAGCAGUCCCUGACGCCAAGGAGGACCAUGUUCCAUAUGCGAAGCGGGGCACGCGGCUCGACGAGGCCGGCGUCGCGCACUUCCUCGCCGCGCUGGAGCGGACGUGGAAGAAGACGGUGGCGGGCGCGUCGAGGAUGUUCGUGGAGAGGCACCGGAGCAGCCACGUGCAGCUCAUCAGCGACAUGGUCUAGCAGAUGAGAUCACCCAAGCUGCCGCCCGUCCACCCGCCUCGGCGCCGCCGUGCCCGUUGGAUGUUCAGUUUCUAUCUAUGAACAACGACCAAGUUCUCUUAACAGCGGGACAUCUGAGUUCGUCAUGGUGAUGGAAGCUGACACGGAGCCGCUCGAAAUCUCCUCGACCUCCCGUCAUGUUUCUUGCGGACGGCAAGAUGACCAAGCCCAAGGAGGAAGCAGCUGCUCAUCACUGAGGACAAGUAACUCCAGCAGGUGAAGUAUGAAGUGUGAAGCCGUGAAGCCUAUCAGCAAGAGUAGCAUAUUAUGUAUUGUAAUAUCAGGCAAAGUGUAAUAUUGGUCAGAGUAGCAUAUUAUGUAUUGUAAUAUUUAGUGUUGUUUUGGAUGAAUUUCAUUUGCUCUAUAAUCUGUUUGAAAUAUUGAUUGUGUAUAUAAUUUCAAUACCUAUGAAAUGGAAACCUGACCAGGGGGACCCACUUAUGAAAAUUGGUUGACAAAUUUUGAAA